UACUUUUGUGUGUGUGUCUUUGUUUAAUUUGUAACGAAGUCUUACAGACAGGGGCAAAUAGUAAAUCUCCUUUGCAAUCGCUGUUGAGUAUGAGUUUUUGGUACAUAUAAGAAGGAAUAUG